AUCGAACGCUGGCGGAAUGCUUUACACAUGCAAGUCGAACGGCAGCACGGACUUCGGUCUGGUGGCGAGUGGCGAACGGGUGAGUAAUGUAUCGGAACGUGCCCAGUCGUGGGGGAUAACGUAGUGAAAAUUACGCUAAUACCGCAUACGAUCUAUGGAUGAAAGCGGGGGAUCGCAAGACCUGGCGCGAUUGGAGCGGCCGAUAUCAGAUUAGGUAGUUGGUGGGGUAAAGGCCCACCAAGCCAACGAUCUGUAGCUGGUCUGAGAGGACGACCAGCCACACUGGAACUGAGACACGGUCCAGACUCCUACGGGAGGCAGCGGUGGGGAAUUUUGGACAAUGGGCGAAAGCCUGAUCCAGCCAUUCCGCGUGCAGGAUGAAGGCCCUCGGGUUGUAAACUGCUUUUGUACAGAACGAAAAGGUUUCUACUAAUACUAGGAGCUCAUGACGGUACUGUAAGAAUAAGCACCGGCUAACUACGUGCCAGCCGCCGCCGCAG
rnacentral:rRNA from 1 species